rnacentral:rRNA from 1 species
CGAAAGCCUGACGGAGCAAUACCGCGUGAGGGAGGAAGGUCUGUGGAUUGUAAACCUCUUUUGAUAGGGAAGAAGUUCUGACGGUACCUAUCGAAUCAGCAUCGGCUAACUCCGUGCCAGCAGCCGCGGUAAUACGGAGGAUGCAAGCGUUAUCCGGAAUUAUUGGGCGUAAAGCGUCCGUAGGUGGUUAGACAAGUCUAUUGUCAAAGCCCGGGGCUUAACCCUGGAGAGGCAGUGGAAACUGUUGGACUAGAGUGCGGUAGGGGCAGAGGGAAUUCCCAGUGUAGCGGUGAAAUGCGUAGAUAUUGGGAAGAACACCGGUGGCGAAAGCGCUCUGCUGGGCCUGCACUGACACUGAGGGACGAAAGCU